UGAUGUGGUUCGAGCUGAAUGGGCAAAUCAUGUUAUACAGUUCUAACUUUGGUUCUGUUUAAGGUAGAUGAGUAGCACUUGGAACUGCUUUUGUGCAUUUAUAUACAACUGAUGGAAAGUGUUGAUGAACUUAAAUUAUGCAUGCAGUUGCUCUGUCUAGCUACUCUUUCUUUACCUUAUAGGUUUUUGACUUGGUGCACUAGGUAAAUGAUCGAGAUAAGAUGGUUUUUUGGUUCUCUCGAUCAUAAUGUCACUGUUGGCUAGGUUUAGAGUUGGAACUAUGGAUUGUAUUUUGGAUGAUGUUGAUGCAAUAGAUAUAUGA
rnacentral:lncRNA from 1 species